UCCCUGGUGGCUUAGAGGGUAAAGCGUCUGCCUGCAGUGCAGGAGACCUGGGUUCGAUCCCUGGGUCGGGAA
rnacentral:tRNA from 1 species